rnacentral:lncRNA from 1 species
CGCCGCCGAUGCCCUCACCGCCGCCUUCGGAUCCGCUGCCGCCGCCGCCUGAGGCGCCUCCAUCCCCGCCGCUUCUACCGCCGCCUCUACAUCCACCACUACAGCCUCCAACACCGCCGCCAGCCCUGCCGCCGCCGCCGACACCACCCUCGCCGCCGGUAGCCCCGCCGCCGAUGCCCUCACCACCGCCUUCGGAUCCGCUGCCGCCGCCGCCUGGAGCGCCUCCAUCCCCGCCGCCCUACCGCCGCCUCUACAUCCACCACUACAGCCUCCAUCACCGCCGCCAGCCCUGCCGCCGCCGCCGACACCACCCUCGCCGCCGGUAGCCCCGCCGCCGAUGCCCUCACCGCCGCCUUCGGAUCCGCUGCCGCCGCCGCCUGAGGCGCCUCCAUCCCCGCCGCACCUACCGCCGCCUCUAUAUCCACCACUACAGCCUCCAUCACCGCCGCCAGCCCUGCCGCCGCCGCCGACACCACCCUCGCCGCCGGUAGCCCCGCCGCCGAUGCCCUCACCACCGCCUUCGGAUCCGCUGCCGCCGCCGCCUGGGGCGCCUCCAUCCCCGCCGCACCUACCGCCGCCUCUAUAUCCACCACUACAGCCUCCAUCACCGCCGCCAGCCCUGCCGCCGCCGCCGACACCACCCUCGCCGCCGGUAGCCCCGCCGCCGAUGCCCUCACCACCGCCUUCGGAUCCGCUGCCGCCGCCGCCUGGGGCGCCUCCAUCCCCGCCGCACCUACCGCCGCCUCUAUAUCCACCACUACAGCCUCCAUCACCGCCGCCAGCCCUGCCGCCGCCGCCGACACCACCCUCGCCGCCGGUAGCCCCGCCGCCGAUGCCCUCACCACCGCCUUCGGAUCCGCUCCGCCGCCGCCUGGGGCGCCUCCAUCCCCGCCCUCGCCACCGCUCCUGCCGCCAUUAUUGCCGCCAGUCGGUCCCGAGCCGCCAGUUCCGCCGUCACCUCCAUCGACGCCCGUACCACUGCCAGCACCGCCGUCGCCUCUUCCGCCACCGUUACCGAUACCUUCGCAGUCGC